CUGUCUCCCUGACAGCCACUAGAGGCCGCUUCCGUGAUUUACACGGAGUAAAUCCCACUUAUUUGAUGCUGGUCGUCCUCACGGGGUCCAGCAUCUAAAAAGAUCCCCUUAGGAAAGCAUUGAGUAAUGCUUUCCUAUGGGUGGGUUUGAAUGAGCGCGCCUCUGGCCGCGCAUGCGCAUUUAACUCCACUUGGAAGCUGACGUCGAUGGAAGAGGAGAG